rnacentral:rRNA from 1 species
GAUGAACGCUGGCGGCGUGCCUAAUACAUGCAAGUCGAGCGAACAGACGAGGAGCUUGCUCCUCUGACGUUAGCGGCGAACGGGUGAGUAACACGUGGAUAACCUACCUAUAAGACUGGGAUAACUUCGGGAAACCGGAGCUAAUACCGGAUAAUAUAUUGAACCGCAUGGUUCAAUAGUGAAAGACGGUUUUGCUGUCACUUAUAGAUGGAUCCGCGCCGCAUUAGCUAGUUGGUAAGGUAACGGCUUACCAAGGCAACGAUGCGUAGCCGACCUGAGAGGGUGAUCGGCCACACUUGAACUGAGACACGGUCCAGACUCCUACGGGAGGCAGCAGUAGGGAAUCUUCCGCAAUGGGCGAAAGCCUGACGGAGCAACGCCGCGUGAGUGAUGAAGGUCUUCGGAUCGUAAAACUCUGUUAUUAGGGAAGAACAAAUGUGUAAGUAACUAUGCACGUCUUGACGGUACCUAAUCAGAAAGCCACGGCUAACUACGUG